rnacentral:rRNA from 1 species
UAGUCCACGCUGUAAACGAUGUCAACUAGGUCGUGGGAGUUCUGACGCUCGCGCGGCCGAAGCUAAAGUGUUAAGUUGACCGCCUGGGGAGUACGGUCGCAAGGCUAAAACUCAAAGGAAUUGACGGGGGCUCACACAAGCGGUGGAGCAUGUGGAUUAAUUCGAAGCAACGCGCAGAACCUUACCUGGGUUUGACAUGUUUGGAUGCCCUCUGUGAAAACAGAGUAAGCUGCCCUUCGGGGUGAAACUUACACAGGUGCUGCAUGGCUGUCGUCAGCUCGUGUCGUGAGAUGUUGGGUUAAGUCCUUUAACGAGCGAAACCCUUACCGUUAGUUGCCAGCGAGUCAAGUCGGGGACUCUAACGGGACUGCCGGUGUUAAACCGGAGGAAGGCGGGGAUGACGUCAAGUCCUCAUGGCCUUUAUGCCCAGGGCUUCACACGUGCUACAAUGGUACGGACAGAGCGACGCAAGACCGCGAGGUGGAGCAAAUCGCAAAAACCGUGCCCCAGUUCGGAUUAC